rnacentral:rRNA from 1 species
AUACGGAGGAUGCGAGCGUUAUCCGGAUUUAUUGGGUUUAAAGGGUGCGCAGGCGGCGAGUCAAGUCAGCGGUCAAACUGCGGCGCUCAACGCCGUACCGCCGUUGAAACUGGCGCGCUCGAGUUUGUGCGAGGAUGGCGGAAUGCGCAGUGUAGCGGUGAAAUGCAUAGAGAUCACACAGAACACCGAUUGCGAAGGCAUCUCACGAACGGAUGAUUGACGCUGAGGCACGAAAGCGUGGGGAUCAAACAGGAUUAGAUACCCUGGUAGUCCACGCAGUAAACGAUGAUAACUAACCGCUGGUGCGCAAGUAUCAGUGGCCAAGCGAAAGCGAUAAGUUAUCCACCUGGGGAGUACGACCGCAAGGUUGAAACUCAAAUGAAUUGGCGGGG